rnacentral:rRNA from 1 species
GCGCUGCAUUAGCUAGUUGGUAAGGUAACGGCUUACCAAGGCAACGAUGCAUAGCCGACCUGAGAGGGUGAUCGGCCACACUGGAACUGAGACACGGUCCAGACUCCUACGGGAGGCAGCAGUAGGGAAUCUUCCGCAAUGGGCGAAAGCCUGACGGAGCAACGCCGCGUGAGUGAUGAAGGUCUUCGGAUCGUAAAACUCUGUUAUUAGGGAAGAACAUAUGUGUAAG